rnacentral:rRNA from 1 species
UACGGAGGGAGCUAGCGUUGUUCGGAUUUACUGGGCGUAAAGGGCGCGUAGGCGGCGUGUUAAGUCACUUGUGAAAUCUCUGAGCUUAACUCAGAACGGUCAAGUGAUACUGAUGUGCUAGAGUGCAGAAGGGGCAACCGGAAUUCUUGGUGUAGCGGUGAAAUGCGUAGAUAUCAAGAGGAACACCUGAGGUGAAGACGGGUUGCUGGGCUGACACUGACGCUGAGGCGCGAAAGCUAGGGUAGCAAACGGG